rnacentral:rRNA from 1 species
UGGGGAAUAUUGGACAAUGGGCGCAAGCCUGAUCCAGCCAUGCCGCGUGAGUGAUGAAGGCCCUAGGGUUGUAAAGCUCUUUCACCGGUGAAGAUAAUGACGGUAACCGGAGAAGAAGCCCCGGCUAACUUCGUGCCAGCAGCCGCGGUAAUACGAAGGGGGCUAGCGUUGUUCGGAUUUACUGGGCGUAAAGCGCACGUAGGCGGACUAUUAAGUCAGGGGUGAAAUCCCGGGGCUCAACCCCGGAACUGCCUUUGAUACUGGUAGUCUUGAGUUCGAGAGAGGUGAGUGGAAUUCCGAGUGUAGAGGUGAAAUUCGUGGAUAUUCGGAGGAACACCGGUGGCGAAGGCGGCUCACUGGCUCGUUACUGACGCUGAGGUGCGAAAGCGUGGGGAGCAAACAGG